AUUUUUUUUACAGUUUACUGCCUCUGUUUGUCCUUCAGCGAUACAAUAAAGACUGCUUCUUCCUGCAUUCUCUGGGAAAAAGUCAGUUUUUUGCCAUAUUUACUGCCUCUGUUUGUCCUUCAGCGAUACAAUAAAGACUGCUUCUUCCUGCAUUUUCUGGGAAAGUCCCUUUUUUGCCAUAUUUACUGCCUCUGUUUGUCCUUCAGCGACAUAAUAAAGACUGCUUCUUCCUGCAUUCUCUGGGAAAAAGUCCCUUUUUUGCCAUAGUAAAAAAAUCCUUUUUUUAUUAAUUAAACAAGUUUAAAUUU